GCCGGUUUAACUCAGAUGGUAGAGUAGCUCAUUCGUAAUGAGCAAGUCGUAGGUUCGAGUCCUAUAACCGGCACCA
rnacentral:tRNA from 1 species